CAGAGAUUGUUUUUACAACCUCAAAACAAACAAACAAAAACCUAAGAAUGUUUAGCCAAGUCUGGUGGUUUUAAAACUUGUCCACAGAUCCUUUGAGCUCCUCCCCUCAAGAGGUGGAGUUUAUCUCUCUCCCCUUGACUGUGGGCUGUACUCAAUGAGAUGCUUGUAGAGAACAGAAUUUGACCAAUGUGCUGGGCUGACACUUCUGCAAUUAGGUCAUAAAAGACCGUGGCCUGACUCUUUGUCCACUCUCUUGGUGACUCUCUCUCUUAGAUCACUCACUUAGGGGGAAACCAUGUCAUCAGCAGCCCUCUUGAGAGGCCCACAUGGCAAGGAACUCAAGCUUCCUGCCAAGAGCCACGUGAAAGCUUGAGAUGUCCCCAGCCAGAGACAUCUAGUUAAGCCCUUCCAGGAUUCCUGACUCUCAGAAACUGUGUGAGGAGAAGCCAAGAGCUUGCUUGAGCCGCCUGAGGCCACACAGCUUGUCGUGGACGGAGCCAACACGAGAACUUUACUCUCUGGAUUCCCAGGCUGAUGCUGCCAUUACUUUUUAAUAAAAAUAUCAUAGAAAUCCACCAAGCUGGCCAAAUUGGAUGAGAAUGACAGAUGGGGAAGGGCUGACGGCUAGGAAAUGUCCCAAAAUAGAGAGAAGUCCUCUCUUUUCUCCAUGGAUGGAGGACAUCAGGAAAGUUUUGAAGUACACAAGAGUUUAAAAAAAUCAUUCCACGAUUCUCAUUUGGUAAAGUGGAAUAAAGUUUAAUUUUCUUAGACAAAAUAUGCGUGUGCCUGUUGACGCCUUAGGCCAGGCUCCUAGGAGUUGGGACUUCUGCCUGCCCUUCCUUUUGAGCUGUGCCAACAUAAGUCCCUCACAACCUCUCGCUCACACAUGGCUCGGCUGGAAGGAAAGGAGGAGGUGGCAUGUAGCCUUGACUGCAUAGAGGCAGCGUAUAAAGGACCGCUCCAGGCACAGGCUGGAGAGUAUCACAUCAACGUGCUUCUUGGGCUUAUGUGCCCCAGGACAGAUGCAUGGAUCCCAAUUGUGAAGCAGGCGAAGCUCGCCUGUGGGUGUCCACUUUCUCUCUUUUUGGGCGGACAGCAUUCACAGGGCAGGAGUGGGGGCCCAGGAGUGAACAGAGACCAGCCACUGGCCUCAGGAAGCCAGCUCACGGUUUGGUGGAGGACACAUGCCAGUCAUGGGAUGGCAUCAGCACAGAGAAGGAGGAACCAUCAUUGCGUGGAGGAGGAAGUACAGGGAGCAAUGCUAGACACCAGGGGGUCCUGAGCUCGAUUGGGAGUCAGGAGAAGCAUCCUGGGGCUGUUUACAUGUGCUGUCUACGUGUGCACACUUCCCGCGCUUGAUUCCUGACCCGGACCAUCCUCUAGUUCCAAGCCCCAAACCUGUCGCCUCCUUGACAUUUGGAUGUCUCAUGAGCAUCUCAAACAUACCAUGUCCAAAAAGAGCCUUUUGAUUCUAAACCUGCUCUUCUUUCAAGCUUCGCUUUCAGAAAAUGGCCCACCGAGGACUUUGGGCCAGGAACCUGGAGUCAGCCUUUUUACUUCUCCCUUAGCAGAACAUCUGCAUCCAAAUCAUUAACAGGUCAUGCCAGCUGCCCGUGGGAAAAUGCACCCCAGAUCCGUUCAGCCAUCUCCCCUUGGUCCGCCACCACUCCAGUCGGGGCCCGUCUCAUCUUGUUAGAUCUCUGCAAUCCCUUCCUGACUGGCUUCCUUGCUUCCCUUCUCGAUGCCCCACCCUCCACGAAGCAGACAGAGAGAUCUGUUUAAAUGACGAGGGAGUGUCAUUUCUCUUAGGAUAGAAUCCAAACUCCAUCCCAGCAUUUAGGGCUGUGAACCUCAGCUCUUGCCACUUUUCUUCUGUCCCCCUCACCCCAGCCACACAGACUUUUUUCAAGUCCUUGAUUGUGCCUUACUCUCUCCCACUUAGGGCCUUUAAAUUGUUCUUCAAGCACUUUCUCUUUACCCAAAGGAGCCCCGGUGGCCACAGCCCCCAACCACUGCUGCUCUCCGUCUUGGUUCCCUGUUUACUUCCUUCACACCAUUUAGAGCAACUUGUAAACACCUGUGUUUGUUUUUGGCUUGUUUGUCAUUUGUCUCCCCUACCGAAGAGGUGAGCAGGACCCAGAUCGUGUGAAGGUCAUAUUGAGAAGGGACAUGACCCCAAGAGAAAUGCGGAGCCAGUGAAAAGUUUAAAACAAAGGAGAGAGAGGAAUGUAAUUCCAUUUGCAGUAGCUCCCGGGCAGAACGCUUUGAAGAGCGAGGUCCAGUUUGGAGAGUGGAGAGGGGGAGGCCCAUCGGAAGACUGUUGAGGUGGCAUAGCUAGGAACGGUGGUGAUGAGAACUAGGGGUUGAGCACUGGGGGUGGAAAGAGGUAGGUGGAUUUAAGAGAGAUUUAGGAGGUUGUGUCCACAGACUUUGGGAUUUUAUGCAGGAAGAAAGGGAGAAGGAGAAACCUAGGUAAUGCUCAGUUUUCUGGUGUGGGCGACUGAGUAGAUGGAUGAUGUUGCCUUUGCUGCCAUGGGACACAGGAUGAGGAGCACUCUUGAGGGUCAGUGCAAAGUCUGCUUGGGACAUACUGAGUUUGAGGAUCGUGAGAGUGGAGGCAGCCUGCUGAGAGUCAGAAUCACCCAAAAUACAUCUGGCUCGGAGAUAUAGAUGCUUAUUCUAUACGUAUCUUUGAAAAUAGAUAAACUCAUAAUAUUUUUUAUUUAG
rnacentral:lncRNA from 1 species